ACUAAACAAAACUAAGCUUUCAUCUUCUCCCUCGCCUCUCAAUAUACGACCGAGAGCCCCCAAAACCCAUGGCAAUCACCACUUUUCGGCCACCAACAAGCCAAGACCGACUGCUCAACUCCCUGGACCCGACGAUGACGACAUCGACGCUUGACCAAGGCUCCGACGACUAAGGGGCAUGGUGAGGCUGCUGCUUCACGUGGGGGAGAGCAGUUGAUGGCAGGGCAUGGUGGGGCUUGGCAACAGCAACAAUCGGGGCUGAGGGAUUUGGUGCAGCAAUAGGUGGCAGGGUAAGGUGAAAAAUAGUGAUUACAAAAGUUCAUCUACAACAUUGUCUCCUUCUUAUGGGUCUAUUGCUCUAGUACUAAUCAUGCUUGAAGAAAAUCGAGCUUGAAAAUUGUUCUUAAGAUCUAAGUAGCGGUGAAUUUGUUCGAGAAUAUAGUAGAUUUUCUCACAUUGAUUAAUAUAUACAAAAGUUUCCACUGUAA